rnacentral:rRNA from 1 species
GAUGAACGCUGGCGGCGUGCCUAAUACAUGCAAGUAGAACGCUGAAGGAAGGAGCUUGCUCUUUCCGGAUGAGUUGCGAACGGGUGAGUAACGCGUAGGUAACCUGCCUGGUAGCGGGGGAUAACUAUUGGAAACGAUAGCUAAUACCGCAUAACAGUAGAUGUUGCAUGAUAUCUACUUAAAAGGUGCAAUUGCACCACUACCAGAUGGACCUGCGUUGUAUUAGCUAGUUGGCGAGGUAACGGCUCACCAAGGCGACGAUACAUAGCCGACCUGAGAGGGUGAUCGGCCACACUGGGACUGAGACACGGCCCAGACUCCUACGGGAGGCAGCAGUAGGGAAUCUUCGGCAAUGGACGGAAGUCUGACCGAGCAACGCCGCGUGAGUGAAGAAGGUUUUCGGAUCGUAAAGCUCUGUUGUAAGAGAAGAACGAGUGUGAGAGUGGAAAGUUCACACUGUGACGGUAUCUUACCAGAAAGGGACGGCUAACUACGUG